rnacentral:rRNA from 1 species
GAUGAACGCUGGCGGCGUGCCUAAUACAUGCAAGUCGAGCGAACAGACGAGGAGCUUGCUCCUCUGACGUUAGCGGCGGACGGGUGAGUAACACGUGGAUAACCUACCUAUAAGACUGGGAUAACUUCGGGAAACCGGAGCUAAUACCGGAUAAUAUAUUGAACCGCAUGGUUCAAUAGUGAAAGACGGUUUUGCUGUCACUUAUAGAUGGAUCCGCGCCGCAUUAGCUAGUUGGUAAGGUAACGGCUUACCAAGGCAACGAUGCGUAGCCGACCUGAGAGGGUGGUCGGCCACACUGGAACUGAGACACGGUCCAGACUGCUAGGGGAGGCAGCAGUAGGGAAUCUUCCGCAAUGGGCGAAAGCCUGACGGAGCAACGCCGCGUGAGUGAUGAAGGUCUUCGGAUCGUAAAACUCUGUUAUUAGGGAAGAACAAAUGUGUAAGUAACUAUGCACGUCUUGACGGUACCUAAUCAGAAAGCCACGGCUAACUACGUG